CAGUGGUGUGUGUGAUGAAGUGGGUGUGUGAUGGGAGUGUGUGAUGCAGUGGUGUGUGUGAUGCAGGAGUAUGUGUGAUGCAGGGGUGUGUGUGAUGUGGGAGUGUGUGUGAUACAGUGGUGUGUGUGAUGUGGGAGUGUGUAUGAUGCAGGAAUGUGUGUGAUACCAGUGGUGU